rnacentral:rRNA from 1 species
GACGAACGCUGGCGGCGUGCUUAACACAUGCAAGUCGAACGAUGAAGCCGGAGCUUGCUCUGGUGAAUUAGUGGCGAACGGGUGAGUAACACGUGAGUAACCUGCCCAUGACUCUGGGAUAACUGCGGGAAACUGUAGCUAAUACCGGAUACGACCCUUGGAGGCAUCUCCUGAGGGUGGAAAGAAUUUCGGUCAUGGAUGGACUCGCGGCCUAUCAGCUAGUUGGUGAGGUAAAGGCUCACCAAGGCGACGACGGGUAGCCGGCCUGAGAGGGUGACCGGCCACACUGGGACUGAGACACGGCCCAGACUCCUACGGGAGGCAGCAGUGGGGAAUAUUGCACAAUGGGCGCAAGCCUGAUGCAGCAACGCCGCGUGAGGGACGAC